rnacentral:rRNA from 1 species
UACAGGGGGGUCAAGCGUUGUUCGGAAUUACUGGGCGUAAAGGGUCUGUAGGUGGCUUGCUAAGUCAGACGUGAAAUCCCUCAGCUUAACUGGGGAACUGCGUCUGAUACUGGCAAGCUUGAGUGCAGGAGAGGAACGCGGAAUUCCAGGUGUAGCGGUGAAAUGCGUAGAUAUCUGGAGGAACUCCGGUGGCGAAGGCGGCAUCCUGGACCGGCAUUGACGCUGAGGCGCGAAAGCUAGGGGAGCAAACGGG